CGUCUUAGAACCAUCCGUGAAAACAACUGUACUUUUAUACAUAUCCAGUGUCUUUUUCUGACAUUUUCUUAAUUCUUUAUGCCUAAUUAUUAAGUCUGGAUCCAAGAGCAUAUUUUCCCAUCUCUGCCAUCGAAUAUUUUGUGCACGAGCGUCUUUAACUUUAUUUUUAGAAAGAUGAGCCAAUCCUGCUGUAUUCGUGUUAAUAAUUAUCUUCUGCCCCCGUGCCAGACCUUUCAACUCGCAAUACCUUUUACUGAGUGCAGCAAGUUGUUUUUCCACCGGAGUAAAUUUAGUUUCUGGAUUUUCCCAACUACCUGACAUAAUCCUAAUAGACCAUCCUUCUGUACUAGCAACUCUCCGUGCCGAUGGGGAGCGACUGGCUGACCUCAUUUGUCCGGCCAUCCCAUUGAGGAGCAGAUGGAUGAGAGGAUCCUGGCUGUUUUUGUUCAUCUCUCCGUUUAAGAAUUUUUUCCAAUUCUUCUCGAUUUGUAUUAGACAUUAAUAAAUUUAUUGUUACCUGACCUUCCUGAGACAUAUCUGUGAUACCUGAUAUUAUUCCUUCUAUUACUGAUGUUACAGGAUGUUUAAAUUGCCCAGUUCCCAUUAAAGUCAUAUGUAUCUGA